rnacentral:ncRNA from 1 species
CUGGGCAUGAGCCGGUGUUCGUUCCUAUUCUUGUUGUUCCGGGCUAUAUCGUGGAUAUCCUAUUUUGGAUGUACUACAGCAUAGUGCGGACAGCAAGGCUGGGUUCGUUCUGAGAUUAUACGGCUAAAACUUGAUCUGGAUAAUACCAGCGAAAGGAAUCAUGCUUUCCCUUAUU